UGACCACCCGGAGUAGGCAUGCCUGUCUGCACGGCCACGUCAAAGUUCUCGGUUUUCGUAAUAAUAUACACGAUUUUUGGGGGGGAUUGGCGACCGGCCCUCCGUAGCGGUAUAUUCCUCCGGUUUAGCCACCGUCUAUUUGUCGUCGGAGUAAAAUCCAAUUAUAUAUUGUGUCGGUGGCGGAUAUAGGCACCGUCGACGCGAUAAAGGGAAAUGAUCGCCGCGACGAUUAGUGAAAAUUCGACAGUCUACCGAUCGCCGUUCGGCGGUUUUCGAAUGUUGGGGAUCGGACUCGUUUUGCUUGGACGACCGCGAGAUUUACAAAAAACAAAAUGUCGGAACAAAAACCCAUGCGCACG